rnacentral:rRNA from 1 species
UACAGAGGGUGCGAGCGUUGUCCGGAAUCACUGGGCGUAAAGGGCGCGUAGGCGGCUUGAUAAGCGUGCGGUGAAAGCCCGGGGCUCAACCCCGGGUCGGCCGUGCGAACUGUCGAGCUGGAGCACUGUAGAGGCAGGUGGAAUUCCGGGUGUAGCGGUGGAAUGCGUAGAGAUCCGGAAGAACACCGGUGGCGAAGGCGGGACUCUGGGCCGAUACUGACGCUGAGGAGCGAAAGCGUGGGGAGCAAACAGG